ACUUUCCAUAAAACUGGCAGAGAGUUCCAUUUCCUGGUUUUGCGAGGAGCCUCGGUCUGCCAGUUAAGUUUAUAACCUCGAUUCUCGUUUUCUCCCCCACCGGUUCGACAUUAAUUGCACGCCUGUGCGAAGACGGACCUUUUUUUCUUUGAACCCACUAUUGUUCUCACCGGGCUCUUCUAAAGGUCAGCCAAGCUAAUAGCUCCGUUCUUGUCCCGGUGCUCCCCAAAGCAGCUGUGCAGAAGAUAAAAAAUUUAAAUGCAAAAAGGUAGAAGUUAUUUCCUGUUUGUUUUGUCAUUGGCUAGCUGAACGCUCCCCAUCAGUAAGACCUGUAUACCUGCCCACUCCUUCAGACCACUGUAGGGGGUGAAUCCUCCCUUGGUUUCAAGAGUAGAGUGGUUUUAUCACUUGUCUUAGUGUCUUAAAACAAUGACUUUUUCUAUUACAUGACAGCAAGAGCUCUGAUGCAGGGGACUUUCUUUAAUUUGGGUCCAGACUGAACAGGUCACCCGACUUACCCACUCUGAGAUAUAUUCUAAUGGUGGAGAGGGAAAUGACUCUUCAUGCCUGUUUGUGGAUCCAUUCCGUUCUUCAGUGGGUGGAAGCCAGCCACAAGGACAAGCUGGCCAGCAGGAGGAGGUGGGAUAUAAUUAAAUUAAUUCUUCCAUCUGGGAAUAUUGUACGUCACAUAAACAUGGGAGGGGUGUAAUCUUCCAGAAGUGGAGCAAAUAAUUGCAAACAGUGUAAUCUCCCAUAAUAGAAAACUAUAUUUAAUUCAGAAAGGUUUAAUGACCUCUAUGGCAGUGCCGAAGCCGUUUUUAGAAUUGAUUAAAGUACAUUCCCAAGUUUCAUUUUGAAAAGGUUAGGCCUCAGAAAUCUGCCUAGAUUUGGAAAACAAGGUCCACUCUUUGGGCAGAGCUGAUUAAUCUUUCAUGAGCGGGAGAGCUGUACCCACAGCUUGGUAACUUUCCAUUCAUUGUUAUGAAGAGUCCAGAAAGAAAGCUUAUUUCUUAGGGCUAGAAUUGCAGUGGCGUUUUGACUUAGCCUGUACAAGUCCCUGCGUUCACUCAUCACCCCACCCCCC
rnacentral:lncRNA from 1 species